rnacentral:rRNA from 1 species
CGGAAUUAUUGGGCGUAAAGAGUGAGCAGGCGGCCGUUUAAGUCUGAAGUCAAAUGCAGUGGCUUAACCACUGUCCGCUUUGGAAACUGGAUGGCUAGAGUACGAGAGAAGUAAGCGGAAUUCCAUGUGUAGCGGUGAAAUGCGUAGAUAUAUGGAGGAACACCAGAGGCGAAGGCGGCUUACUAGAUCGAUACUGACGCUCAGUCACGAAAGCGUGGGUAGCAAAUAGGAUUAGAUACCCUAGUAGUCCACGCCGUAAACGAUGAGAACUAGGUGUAGGGCCAAACCCUGUGCCGAAGCUAACGCAUUAAGUUCUCCGCCUGGGGAGUACGUUCGCAAGAAUGAAACUUAAAGGAAUUGACGGGGGCCCGCACAAGCAGUGGAGCAUGUGGUUUAAUUCGAUGCUACGCGAAGAACCUUACCAGGGCUUGACAUAGUGUCUAAGACUCUAGAGAUAGAGGGAUAAUAGGUACAUACAGGUGGUGCAUGGUUGUCGUCAGCUCGUGUCGUGAGAUGUUAGGUUAAGUCCUCCAACGAGCGCAACCCUUGUCCUUAGUUGCCAGCAUUUAGUUGGGGACUCUAGGGAGACCGCCGGCGUAAGCCGGAGGAAGGUGGGGAUGACGUCAAAUCAUCAUGCUCUUUAUGUCCUGGGCGACACACGUGCUACAAUGGUCGGUACAAUGAGAUGCAAAAUCGCGAGGUAGAGCAAAUCUAUAAAGCCGAUCUCAGUUCGGAUUGGAGUCUGCAACUCGACUCCAUGAAGUCGGAAUUGCUAGUAAUCGCAAAUCAGCCAUGUUGCGGUGAAUACGUUCCCGGGCCUUGUACACACCGCCCGUCAAACCAUGAGAGCUGGUAAUACUCGAAGUCGGUGUCCUAACCCGUAAGGGAGGGAGCCGCCUAAGGUAGGACUAGUGAUUGGGGUUAAGUCGUAACAAGGUAACCGUA